rnacentral:rRNA from 1 species
GACGAACGCUGGCGGCGUGCUUAACACAUGCAAGUCGAGCGAGAAACCUUCGCGUUUCUAGCGGCGGACGGGAGAGUAACACGUGGGUAACCUGCCUCCAAGAGGGGAAUAGCCUCCCGCAAGGGAGAUUAAUACCGCAUAAUAUUAAAAUUCCGCAUGAAGUAUUAAUUAAAUGAGUAAUCCGCUUUGAGAUGGACCCGCGGCGCAUGAGCUAGUUGGAGAGGUAACGGCUCACCAAGGCCACGAUGCGUAGCCGACCUGAGAGGGUGAUCGGCCACAUUGGAACUGAGACACGGUCCAGACUCAUACGGGAGGCAGCAGUGGGGAAUAUUGCACAAUGGGCGAAAGCCUGAUGCAGCAACGACGCGUGAGUGAUGACGGUCUUCGGAUUGUAAAGCUCUGUCUUUUGGGACGAUAAUGACGGUACCAAAGGAGGAAGCCACGGCUAACUACGUGCCAGCCGCCGCGGUAACAC